rnacentral:rRNA from 1 species
CCUCGGGGGGCAGCAGUGGGGAAUAUUGGACAAUGGGCGAAAGCCUGAUCCAGCCAUGCCGCGUGUGUGAAGAAGGCCUUCGGGUUGUAAAGCACUUUCAGUGGGGAAGAAAGCCUUGGGGCUAAUACCCUCGAGGAAGGACAUCACCCACAGAAGAAGCACCGGCUAACUCCGUGCCAGCAGCCGCGGUAAUACGGAGGGUGCGAGCGUUAAUCGGAAUUACUGGGCGUAAAGCGCGCGUAGGCGGUCUGAUAAGCCGGUUGUGAAAGCCCCGGGCUCAACCUGGGAACGGCAUCCGGAACUGUCAGGCUAGAGUGCAGGAGAGGAAGGUAGAAUUCCCGGUGUAGCGGUGAAAUGCGUAGAGAUCGGGAGGAAUACCAGUGGCGAAGGCGGCCUUCUGGACUGACACUGACGCUGAGGUGCGAAAGCGUGGGUAGCAAACAGGAUUAGAUACCCUUGUAGUC